UGGGCUCGAACGGCUGGUCAACGGCGGUGGAAACACCGCUACCCCGCAAGGGGGUCCAGUCGAGGUGCUGCAUGGCUGUCGUCAGCUCGUGUCGUGAGAUGUUGGGUUAAGUCCCGCAACGAGCGCAACCCUUGUCCUGUGUUGCCAUCAUUCAGUUGGGAACUCGCAGGAGACCGCCAGGGAUAACCUGGAGGAAGGUGGGGAUGACGUCAAGUCCUCAUGGCCUUUAUGUCCAGGGCUACACACGUGCUACAAUGGACGGUACAAAGCGCCGCUAACCAGCAAUGGGGAGCCAAUCGCAAAAAACCGUUCUCAGUUCGGAUUGCAGGCUGCAACUCGCCUGCAUGAAGCUGGAAUCGCUAGUAAUGGCAGAUCAGCACGCUGCCGUGAAUACGUUCCCGGGCC
rnacentral:rRNA from 1 species